rnacentral:rRNA from 1 species
GUCUUUAUGUAAUAAUAAUUUAAAGUCUAACCUGCCCACUGAAAAUUUUGAAGGGCCGCAGUAUUAAUUGUGCUAAGGUAGCAUAAUAAUUAGUCUUUUAAUUAAAGACUAGAAUGAAUGGUUGAACGAAAUAUAAUUUGUUUUAGAUCUAUAUAUAUAAAACUUAUUAUUUUAGUUAAAAAACUUAAAUAAUUUAAAAAGACGAGAAGACCCUAUAGAUCUUAAUAUAAUUAUUUAAUAUUGAUAAUAUUUAAUUUAUAUUAAAUUGGGGUGAUUAAAAAAUUUAAAUAACUUUAAAAAAAUAAAACAUUUAUUUAUGAUUAAUAUAAAAUUGAUCUAUUUUUAUAAAUUAAGAUAAAGGAUACCUUAGGGAUAACAGCGUAAUUUUAAUUUUAAGUUCUUAUUGAAAUUAAAGAUUGCGACCUCGAUGUUGAAUUAAAAUGAAUAUUAAAUGUAGCCGUUUAAUUAUUAGGUCUGUUCGACCUUUAAAAUUUU